rnacentral:RNase_MRP_RNA from 14 species
UCAAGAAUUCUGGGCGAAAGUCCCCGGGCUAUGAGGCAGAAAGUGCCAGCCUUAGCAGGUAGGACCUUCACUGACCUACUUUCGGGUAGGAAGUGGAGCAGCUAGCCAUCGAUACAGUCAUGUGGUCAGUGGGAAUACAACCCACCAACAGAACGGGGCUUACUCUCGUG